rnacentral:lncRNA from 1 species
AUGAAAAGACAUAUUAAAUGUUGUGCGAAAGAAGAACAGGAUCGACUUUCAACUGCACAUUUAUUGGAGGUCGGCGAUGACUGUGUUGAUUACUAUGAUCAAACAGAGAGCAAUGACGGAGUCGGUGCCUGGUCGCAAGAUGCAUGUAGUUACAGGAUUGAUAUUUGCACCAAGGGCAAACUGUCCAGAAAAAUUAUUUCAUAUCAGAGAAGAGAGUGUGCAGAGAAUACAUGUGAUGUCAUAUCGCAAUCUCAGCAUUACAACGACCCUGAGCGGUUCAUUGAACAAUACAGAAGUGACAGAUUGCGCCGUUUCCCCUGUCACACACAUAUCCCUACACAUCCGGGGACAUGGGUGGUGCUGAAAAGCUGCGAGGAAGAGCCCUUCGAUUUUACCAUGCCACCAAUCAGAGGUAAAAACAACAGCGCUACUGGAGACUACUUGGAGCAACAAUAUGCACUUAUAUCUGAAAAAAGAGACACGUUUUCCAAACACAAACAGACGGAUGAAUGUAAAAAGUUAUCUUCUGCAUGUGUUCAAGAUGAUGAAAUGCUCUGUUUUACCUGCCACGCUAUGCUAAGGUCAUUUCAAAAUUGUGGAGACAAGGAGCUGUCCUACUAUGAGCCAAAUGGCACAGUCUACUCACCUAUCAACAACAUGGGCAUCAAGCUGCUGACAGUGCAACAAACACAGACCUCGUUGGACGCCUUGCGGAGGAACCAGCGACUCAGGAGCAGCGCUGUCAUCAGGAGGCACCCACGAGCCAAUAAGAGUGCCACCUUAGGGGACAUCUCCCUGUCAACAUUCAAAAACAACGUGGUGUGGUGUAACGGCUAUCGAGAGACCUCUUCCAUGCAGGCCGCCGCUCUCCCUGAUGUUCCCAGUUCUUCAUCCAAGAAAGGAAACAAUAAGGCCAAUCCUUUUACGGUCAAAGGGUUGAGAAGGCUCCCUCCAAGUCAGAAGUAAGUCCUGCAAAAGACAAUGACAGAGUUGAGCUCUUAGAGUGAAGCUCUAAACUGUUCUUUAAAGCACAUCCGUUCAUUUUUUUAAACAGUUUUCCCAACUGGGAUAAUAAAGUGAUUGAUUGAUUGAUGUGUUUAUGUGGGGGAACCUAGAUCUUCGGUUUUAUGAGAACAGAAGUGAUGUGCAGGAUGAAUAUGUCUGUCUGUGUGGGACGUGACAGUGGGACCAGGCCUGGCCGCUCCUUUCCCGAGUCAUCUCCUCCCAGUGGGAGAUCCAUCACCCCAGGCACCCAGCUCUCCUCCACCACCCCCCUACCUCCAUCGCACCCCUGGAAGUCCAGCUCUACAUGCUACCUGACCCCUCCACAGUUGGCACCCACUAAGCCCCUGGUGGUCCAGCAGAGGAAAAAGAG